CCUACGGGAGGCAGCAGUGGGGAAUAUUGGGCAAUGGGCGCAAGCCUGACCCAGCAACGCCGCGUGAAGGAAGAAGGCUUUCGGGUUGUAAACUUCUUUUCUCAGGGACGAAGAAAGUGCCGGUACCUGAGGAAUAAGCCACGGCUAACUACGUGCCAUCAGCCGCGGGAAUACGUAGGUGGCAAGCGGUAUCCGGAUUUACUGGGUGGAAAGGGCGUGUAGGCGGGAAAGCAAGUCAGAUGUGAAAACCAUGGGCUCAACCUGUGGCCUGCAUUUGAAACUGUUUUUCUUGAGUACUGGAGAGGCGGACGGAAUUCCUAGUGUAGCGGUGAAAUGCGUAGAUAUUAGGAGGAACACCAGUGGCGAAGGCGGUCUGCUGGACAGCAACUGACGCUGAGGCGCGAAAGCCAGGGGAGCGAAAGGGAUUAGAUACCCGGGUAGUC
rnacentral:rRNA from 1 species